UGCAGUUAUGUACAGAAGCCUGGGAUAUAGAACAGCAAACUGUGGAGUGGUUUGAAGCAGAGAACAUGGAGCCCCUUGCAACAUCUUCCUUCUCCAGUGUGUUCCAAGGAGCAUCUCCACAGCAUUCUUGGCAUUCAGCUUGAAAAUGAUCUCUCAUUAAGCAAAUCAUCUUUGCUUAGCUGCUCUGUGCCAGAUACUUUGCUUUGGGCUGAGGACUUGGAGAUAAGUGGGACUACAUUUCCAAGAAAUACCCUAACACUCCUCGAAGCUUGUCCCGCUAUAUUUCUUAGCUUCCCGUUUCCACCAACUUCUCCUCUAUGUUCCGCUUCUUUUAGCUAGCCUUGGACUCUAGUGAGGAAAGCUAAUGACCUAAUAAAUAAAUA